rnacentral:lncRNA from 1 species
GACCGACAGACUGCGUGAGACCCAGUUGCGGGCAAUAGCGUCUUACACUUUCCCAAAGACAAAUACACAAGCGAUUCGCCGUAGUCUAAUCGAUCACGGAGGACACAGCCAAUGACGGAGCUCUCGGUGGGAGAAAAUCUUCGAGUCAAUCCUAAACAAAGGAUUUUUUUUUUUUUUUGAGGUGUUCGCUCCAAUGAUUAUUUUAGCAGUCCAUUUAUAUUUUAAUAUAUAACUAAAAUACUUUAAAACACCAUUAAUUGUUCUCAUUACCGAAUUUAACCAUUGUUUUUCUACAUAUUUUCAAAAAUAAAAAGAAUUAAAGAGAAAGGGAUUAAAAUGGAGUGACAAGAGAAGAUGAAGGACUACACAACAGAAUGACCAUUAAGGUUUUGACCAUUUUACUUUGAAUAAAAUUCUUUAAAAGAAUUGACGUGAAGGUUGAAAACAGGGAGUGAAAAGGAGGCAAUCCUGGGCCAUAAAAACUGUGACCAUUUUACUUUUGAAUAAAAUAAAACAACAAUUUUCUUUUGCUUCAUCUUCUCCCUUCAGCUCACUCCACGCGAUUUUCAGCUUAGCUCAAAACCACCCAUGGCAGCCAACAAACUUUCCCUCUUCCACUAACCCAGCAGGGACUCCACAACUGGAAACGAGGGCUAUAAUCUGGCAGGGGCUUCCCAAAUUAGCUGAUCUGGAUCCCUAACAGCACACACACGACUGGAAGCUAAAAGGGAAGCUAAUUAAUCACCUGGGCAGGACUGGGACAAUCAAAGGCAGCUUCUUCUUCUUCAGGGCAAGGUGCUUCGAGAUCUGAUGUUGCUCUGUUUUCUCGCAUCAGUUUUUAAAGAGGAAGGGGUAAGUGCAGAUAGCCUUUGGCCUAAUAGCAUUUCAUUUGAAAUGCUAUUUUACCUGUUGAUAUAGCAACCCCGAUGGAGUUGCUAAUAUGAGAGGAAAAAAAAAGCUAGCAUGACCGUUAUUUUCUUUUAGCUUCCUUUGUUUUCCGUACCUAGACUCUUUUUUUUAUUUUUAGUUUUUAUAUAAUCAAAUUGAAAGUCAAUUUAAAUAAAUUAUUUAAGAAAUAUAAAUAUUAAAAAAGGACUAAAAUGAAAAAGAAAAUCAGUGUGAAAAUUUCAUUUUGAUCCUUCUAAUUUCAAAAUUUAAAGUUGUGACUUGUGAGAGGCUAUCAAUGAGCUUAUUCUGUAUCUAUAGAAUUUUAUAGUUGUUUUUUUUAUCGAAAAUAAAUUAAAAGUUGAUAUUUUUACCAAAAAAUAUCUCGGCGUGAGCGUGACCCUUCAUUCGCUGAAUUUAAGACUGUAGAUGAAGUUAUUUAAUAAUUUUUUAAAAAAAAUGAAAGGCCCUUUUAAUAUAAAAUAAAUUAAGAGAUUUAGUAGGUAAGCCAUGUUUUUUUUUUGGGCCAAGCACGCAAACCCCCCACGCAAACUUGAUUUAUUUUAUUUUUAUUCCUUUUCCUUGUUUUUACAAUCUGAUGAAAAGAGUGUUUAGCAGUGUAGUAUUGGUUAUUUUUAAAAAAAAAUUUAUAUUAAAAUAUAUGUUAAUGAUUUUUUUUUAUUUUUUAAAAAUUAUUUUUGAUAUCAGCACAUCAAAACGAUCCAAAACAUACAAACCAUAUUAAAUUUUAAUAAAAAAAAAUUUAAAAUAUUUUGGAAAUGCGGUUUGCAUUGCUUUUCCAAACACAUUCGAAAUCAAAUAGAUUGGUAAAAAAAUAAUUUGAUUUUUUUAUUGAAUAUCAUUGAAAUUCUAUUUUAUUUUAUAAAAUUAUAGUUUUUUUUAUAUUAGCGUGUAAAUAUAAGGUGUGAAAAUCAACCCAGUUCAUACGGCGGAGUGUGGUGAUUAAUCAUGUAAUUUUUAUUCUGAUUUUUUUUUUUUAAUGCUAUGCCAUUAUUGUUACUUUGUUUGGAGUGGAAAAGUAUUUUUGGCGGUAGAUGUAUUAGCUCAAGCUUAUGCAAGUAUAUUCAUAAAGUUAUAACAAAAGCACGAAGAUUAUUACUGAGUUUGAUAAUAUGAUGUAUAGUGUUGUUUAAAAGUAUUGUUUUAGUUAAAAAUAUAUUAGAAUAAUAUGUUUUGUAAUUUUUUUAUUUUUAACAUUAAUUUAUUAGAAUUAUUAAAAAAUACCUAAAAAAUAUUUAUGCAAAAAAAUUGAAAAGUAACAACCACAAUACUAGGCACUAAAUAAUUGUACGGUGAUGGUUGCUUUUCAAAAUAUUUUUUACUUGAAAAUGCAUUAAUUUUUUUAUAAAAAAAUAAUUAUUUUUGAUAUCAUUACAUCAAAACAAUCCAAAAAUAUAAAAAAUAUUAAAUUCAAGCAAAUUAAAAUAUUAAAAAAAUUAUUUUAACCGCAAAAACAAACCCUCCCUAGGAUUUAACAAGUUUUUAAAGAUAGGUGUUUAAUUUUGGUUUAAAUAAUAGCUCUACGUACUUUAAAAUGGGUUUAAGUGGCUAGUAGUUAGUGUUGUUAAGAGCGAUUAGAAACAUAACUUAAGUCUAACCUCGUAAAUAAUUUAAUUAAUAAGUUCAUCAUAACAAAUGUAAGACACUAAUCUAGUCAUCUCAAAACUUGGUACGAGGUCCUCUAGGAAUAUUCCCAAGAAGGCAACUAACUAUUUAUGGGCCUUCUCAGAUUGAGAAAGUGCAACCUUUAACUUAUUCUCCUUUCAGUUUUCUAUUUCUCAAAACUGGAUCCAGUGGGCCUGGGUCCAAUGAGAACAAGACUGGGCUCGCCAGCUCUUUGUAACUGGGCUGCACAAGUUGGAUCACAAUCUUCUUUCCGAAAAGAAUUGGAUGCCUAAAGGCUAAAACCUAGAGCUCUUUUCAAAUCCAAAUCUAAAAUAAUGCGAUUGCAAGAUCAUUUUUAGAGGUAUUCUGGAAUCAUUUCUCUGUGAUGAAGCACAUAUCGUACAAAAAUAAGAGAAAAUUAAGGUUACUUAAUGAAUAUUGAUUUUCAACGUUAUUUUCUCAUUAUUAUUAUUAUUAUUAUUACAGCAAAUCAUAAGGGUUAGGGUCUGAUUUAUUUUUUGUGCGAGAUCUGAGAUGUUCAAUUCUAUUUAAGAUUCAAUUCCUAUUUUAAGAAAUAUUUCAAUCAUGAGAGUUGAUGAACCUCUUAAUUAAAUCCAAUUCUAUUCAAAAGGUUACAAACAAUCUAUUAAUAUAUGCUUUUGCAUAUCCACGCCGCACCCACUAUUUCGUAUAAAUUAUUUUUUAUAUAUAUUUUUAUGGUUGUUUUAGUGUAUUGAUAUGAAAAAUAAAUUUUUAAAGAAUAUAUAUUAUUUUAAUAUAUUUUCAAAUAAAAGUAUUUUUUAAAGUAUUUUUUAUCCAGAAAAAUAAUUAUUUUUGAUACCAUUAUCUCAAAACGAUUCAAAAACAAAUCAUUUAAAUAUUAAGAGGGUAUUUGAGAUCAUGGUAUAGAUUGUUUUUUAAAGUAUUUUUUGCUCGGAAAAACAUUAAAAUAAUAUAUUUUUUUAUUUUUUUAAAAUAUUUUUAAUAUCAGCACAUUAAAACGAUUUAAAAAUAUUUAAAAAAUUAUUUUAAAAUUAAUUAAUUAAUUUUUUCAGAAAUGUUUUUAAAACUUAAAAAACAAAUGUUAUCUAAAUACCCGUAACUCAGUUGGUGGCUUUCGUGUAGACUUGCAUGAUUAGGUUCUCAAUGCACAGCAAUUAUUUAAGAUGGAUUAUUAUACCAUUUCGGUUGUCGGUGUCUAGCAAUUAUUUCACAUGGAUUAUUAUUAUUAUUAUUAUGCCAUUUCGUGUAGGAUAGAUAAACCUAGGUGAUGCAUUCAAAAGGAAUAAAAUUGGUGUGAUAUCGCAAUCAUUGUCUGUUUUGUUUUUUUUUUAAAAAAAAAUUAAUUAUGUUUUUUUUAUCAACGUGGAUGUCCUAAUCAGCUUGCACGUACCUCGACUAAUUUCACGGGUCUUAAAAUUAAUAAUCAUGUAAACUUUAAAUGAUUCUGAGAUUUGUGGAAUUCAAACUAGUGAUUUUCAGGAAACAAACUCAGAAUUUGAUCAAUACCCAGAACCUGAAUAAAUGAGUUAUAUACUCAAGAUUUUAAUUAUGUGUUUUUUUUUUUUGAGUGAGCAGUGGUGGCAAAAAGGUGGCGUGUGGAGAUGAACACCAAUUUUCCCACCUUGUACUGUCUAUAUAACAAUUCAUAUCAUCUUAUGUUUUACAAGAAUUUUUUAUUUUUAUUUAAUCCAUUAUUUUGAUUGUUUGUUAUUAUUGUAUUUUUAAAAUUAAAUAUCAUUGUUUUUCAUUUUGAAAUAAUAUUUGAUUAUAAUCUACCUUGUUAUGAAAGCAAAUAACAUGAUUAUUUAAAAAUGAUAAGGAUUAGAGGGCACUUUUUGUCUAUAUCAAAAAAACAAAACAAUUGAUUACACUAUUUUUUAAAAGCAAGAAUAUAUAUUCUUAAAGUUACAAUAAUUGAUUGCUGAAUAUUGAUUUAACUGAUAUUACUUUUAAUUUAUAACACAACACCAACACACUUAAAAAAAAGCCCUUCAUUCUUCAUUUUUUUUUUUAAUUUGAAGUUUUUCUACUAGUAUUUAUUUGUGCAUUACAAUCUGUUUUUUAAAUUGUUUUUUAUCUAAAAAAAUAUUAAUUAAUAUUUUUUUGAUUUUUUUAUAGUUUUGAUGUUUGGAGUUAAAAAAAACUAAAAGUAUAUUUUUAAUUAAAAAAAUAUUUUUAAAACAUAUUGCAUCACUUUUGCAAACAUACACGUAAUCGGUUUGGUGUUCUUUACACGACAAUCACUUCAGUUCCUUUUCUUUUUGGGUCACUAUAAAUAUUCAUUCACCAUAGCUUGCGGCGACAAGUUAUGUUGACAUGCAUAAACUAGUAGAGCAUCAAAGUGCUUUGGGAACUGCUUCUCCAUUCUACAGCCACAAUGUCAUGGGUAGCCAACCAUCCCAGAAACCCAAUUGAAAUGUAUAAAUUCAAUAAAUUCUUGCUUCUAUAAAAUCUGGAAUGAUCUGAUGAGUUUAUUUGAAAUUUGAUACACCUGGAAUUUAAAUCGGUUUGAAUUUUAAAAAAUAAAAUAAAAUAAUGAAUUGAUUCAGUCUGAUAUAAUGAUACUCAUUAAAAAAUCUACGUUUUUAUUUUUAAAAAAAUUAUAUCUUUUUGAAUUUUGACCAGGGAUUAAUAACUAAGGAAAUUCUACAAGUUUUUUUUUAUAUAUAAAAAAUGAUGCUUAUUUCAUGUUUGCUGUUUACCGAUGUGGGCCCAACUGCCCAAGUUAUUUAUUUAUAGAGAGAAUUCUUUCUGCCUUGCUCGAAACUGGUGGAGGGGAAGACAAGGGAUUUUAUAUCUAUUUUUUAAAAUAUUUUUUAUUUAAAAAUAUUUUAAAAUAAUAUUAUUAUCAAAACAAUUUAAAAACAUUAAAAAAAUAAUUUCAAACAAAAAUUUAUUUAACUUUUUUUAAAAAAAUAGAUUUACCGCAGCUCAAAACAAACAAAAAUUUUAAACAAGUCUCGUUAGUUUACCUUCCUCAAAAGUCAAAAGCCCAAACACAUUUGUGAGAAGCAUCUUCCAUCC